UACGAAGGGUGCAAGCGUUAAUCGGAAUUACUGGGCGUAAAGGGUGCGUAGGCGGUUCGUUAAGUCUGUUGUGAAAUCCCCGGGCUCAACCUGGGAAUGGCAAUGGAUACUGGCGGGCUAGAGUGCGGUAGAGGAAGGUGGAAUUCCCGGUGUAGCGGUGAAAUGCGUAGAGAUCGGGAGGAACACCAGUGGCGAAGGCGGCCUUCUGGACCAGCACUGACACUCAAGCACGAAAGCGUGGGGAGCAAACAGG
rnacentral:rRNA from 1 species